rnacentral:rRNA from 1 species
UACGUAGGGGGCAAGCGUUGUCCGGAAUUAUUGGGCGUAAAGAGCGUGUAGGCGGUUCGGUAAGUCCGCUGUGAAAGUCGGGGGCUCAACCCUCGAAUGCCGGUGGAUACUGUCGGGCUUGAGUACGGAAGAGGCGAGUGGAAUUCCUGGUGUAGCGGUGAAAUGCGCAGAUAUCAGGAGGAACACCAAUUGCGAAGGCAGCUCGCUGGGACGUUACUGACGCUGAGACGCGAAAGCGUGGGGAGCAAACAGG